GGACUCCGAGGGGUAGCGAUUCCCGUAACGCGGCUCUUCGCGUCCCGGAUUCCGGUGGCUGCGUCCGCGUCGCCUCUCCCAGACUAGAUCGAAGGGUUCCCCCCACCUCCCCUCUGUGGGCGGAAAGAGCGGAAUGUUCCAUUUUUCUGUGGAAUAACGGGGUCAUGAACUGGAGCCCGGGUGCUGCCCGCCGCCCGCUGCCCCCGCCCUCCCUUCUCGCCAGGGCGCCUGCGGCCUCUCUUCGCGGCCUUCCCCGAGGGACUCAGAGCCGCGAGGGACCGCCUAGCUCCCUUGGGGAUGGGGAAGGCGUGGGAGCCUCUUGGGGAAAGUGAAGAGCUCGGUGGCCGUGACUCCGCACGAGACUGCGGCAGAUUGUGGCGGCGGCUUCUCUCCAAGACUUACGUAAACGAGCCUUGCCACAGUACUUUUUUAAAUUAGUAAAUGAGUUUGGGUGCGAUUGAUCAGUGAGCCCCAGAGGUGGUGGCCCACCAAGCGACUAGUGUUUCUUUGCGGUUUGUACCUCCCCGUUUAUGAUAAAAAAUACCGGGUAAAAACCUAUUCAUCCCGCCUCCGCCCCCCCCUUUCCCUCAGAAAAUGGACCUCAAGGCUCAUGAUGUUUGUUUCUCCCCAAAGGAAGAUGAGAAUCUUGAGUUAAAAGAUAA
rnacentral:lncRNA from 1 species